UGCCAGCAGCCGCGGUAAGACGGAGGGUGCGAACGUUGUUCGGUAUCACUGGGCAUAAAGAGCACGUAGGCGGUCCGCUAAGUCAGAUGUGAAAGCCCCCGGCUCAACCGGGGAAUUGCAUCUGAUACUGGCGGGCUAGAGGACGGUAGGGGUGAGUGGAACUCCAGGUGGAGCGGUGAAAUGCGUAGAUAUCUGGAGGAACACCAGUGGCGAAAGCGGCUCACUGGACCGUCUCUGACGCUGAGGUGCGAAAGCUAGGGUAGCGAACGGGAUUAGAUA
rnacentral:rRNA from 1 species